CGAACCUCUCCGGGGAUGCCAGCUGCUAACAAAAUGAGUCGCAAACUGGUGGCUCAUCUGAUCAAAGGAGAAGAUAGUACCCGACUUCAGCAUCGAGUACCAGUUUCUUGCUGCUUCCUUCAAGGUAGAUGGGAAAGCUUGGCACAGGAUGGCGUCUGGUGCGCCAAGGAGCAGCAUCAUUGUCCAGAAGGUCUCCAGGUGGUCAAUCGGAUCCGAGAUCCCGUCAUAGCUUUCGAAUUGGGGGAGCUUGAAGUUUGGCGGGAUUGGUUCCUGCAUGAUCAUUUGAGAGAAAGGAGGGUCAGUACAGAUGUCCUCACCAUAAGCAGGAGUAGCGUGGUG
rnacentral:lncRNA from 1 species